CGGUAUUUUUCUCAAGAAUAGAUCACGAUAUUUUCCGCAUUGGAGAUCAUUUGUGAUCAUUUCUCCCCAUUUUAAGGAGAGUCACAGAGUGCACCGGCGGUGGCCCUCGAUUUCCACGCCCCGUUGGAGGGUCGGAUGCGGCGCAUCAAAGUGCCUCGUGACCCAUCCGCCUUCCUCGGACUGGCAGCAUGCGACACGGCACCAGGCAGACUUCCGGACUUCACGGUGGGCGUCCCAGGUCAGAGGAUCUGUCUUCCACGAGAGCAUCGUCGUCAGAGUCAGAACGAGUAGGGUGUCAGCUUUGGCGUUUAAUCCCGGAGGAUCAAAGAGGACCGCUCAAAUUGAACUCCAAGCGCUAACCCCUCUAAGAAGAUAUCUUUAAUUGAGGUGCUUUCAAAGCCAUCCUGAGAUUCUAUUUGCUCUCUAUGGCACCAUUCCGAGCCAGGAGAUGCCUGACUGCCCCACUCCUGGAGGUACCUAAUGAACACAUUUGGAGCAGAGUAUAGAGGCUGGGAAUGAAACCCUCAGACAUACGUGCAGCCUCGAGGAAAGCCAGCAGGGAAUUCUGGGAUUUGGGAUGGUCUGGAGGGGGGGGGGGGGUAACAAGAUGUAGUUGAUCCAGUUGAGUAGCUUGUCAGUAAAGGAUAUUCCACCACCAUGUCCAUACUCACCCCAGGUUGUACCGCACUCCACACAGAAAAGUUCAUUUUGCCUCGGCAAUCCGCGCCUCUCCACCGCACCCCAAGAGUCACACUCACUCUUAUCCAGCUUCCCCUCAUAUCAAAGGAAGCUUAAUGAAUAAUUAAUCCCAGCCCACUUUGAAGCAUCUAUACAGGGAAUGCGGAACGCAGCUCCGCUGAGCUACGAUCAGGGGCCUCCAGCAGGAAUCCCCCUUUGGACGAGGCUCUGAAGCAGCGAUGUCUCAGAACCAUCGUCCAGGAGCCACCUGCAGCUUCUGGCAUUCUACCA